rnacentral:rRNA from 1 species
CCGCCCGUCACACCAUCCGAGUCGAGGGAACCCGAAGUCGCUAGUUUAACCCGCAAGGGAGACGGUGCCGAAGGUAUGCUUGGUAAGGAGGGUGAAGUCGUAACAAGGUAGCCGUACCGGAAGGUGCGGCUGGAUCACCUCCUUUCUGUGAGAAAGG